rnacentral:rRNA from 1 species
GAUGAACGCUGGCGGCGUGCCUAAUACAUGCAAGUCGAGCGAACAGACGAGGAGCUUGCUCCUCUGACGUUAGGGGCAGACGGGUGAGUAACACGUGGAUAACCUACCUAUAAGAGUGGGAUCACUUCGGGAAACCGGCGCUAAUACCGGAUAACAUCUUGAACCGCAUGGUUCGACGGUAAGAGACGGUCUUGCUGGCACUUAUAGAUGGAUCCGCGCCGCAUUAGCUAGUUGGUAAGGUAACGGCCUACCAAGGCUACGAUGCGUAGACGACGUGAUAGGGUGGUAGGCGACACUGGAACGUGGACACGCUCCAGACUCCUACGGGAGGCAGCAGUAUGGAAUCGUCCGCAAUAGUGGAAAGCAUUACGGAGCGACGGCGCGUGUGUUAUGAAGGUCUUCGGAUCGUAAAACUCUGUUAUGAGGGAAGAACAAAUGUGUAAGUAACUAUGCACUGCGUGACGGUACCUAAUCAGAAAGCCACGGCUAACUACGUG